CAGCUUCUUGCCGUUGUGUCAAUCCAAUGGCUUCGUAAGAUAGAAGGCUGUUUAUCGCGUGCUCGGUACAGUACCCAACCACCAGAGCAAUUAUUUGAAUAGAAAGAAUCAACGUUUAUUUGCAUUCAUCGCUGUAAGGUGCCAAUCUCAUACUAACCGGGCGUAACCUCUGCAAACUAUCUAAGGUCGAAAAACACUUAAAAAAAGAAAUUCCAGAGGGAAAUAUUGAAGCACAGCUCCUGGAUUUGACUAGCUUCAGAAGCAUAUCAACAUUU
rnacentral:misc_RNA from 1 species